AUGUCUUCAGGGAUGAUUGCCGAGAUAAAUCAAGUUUUGCAGAAAAAUGGGUGAUGAGGUAACAUGACAUCUUUUGUUUAUUUAUAAUCUCUUCUUACAUUUGUAUAUUUGCAAAUGUGAUAGUGUCUUCAUAUAUGGCAAAAUAAGGGAGUUUGUAAUCUAUGUAGCUGAUCCAUGAAUUACAUUUCCAUCUUUUAACUAAGAAAAAACUAUUCCAUCCAAGGUUCCAAUAUGACCUUUUGUUGUGCCUCUUUCAGGUAAGAGAUGCCAUAACGUCAUAUCUUUUCGACUUUAUGCCGUUAACAGAAAACGCCUGAAAUCAACUUGGUGUACUUAUAGUUAUAUUUUCAGGCAACUCAUAUUAUUUGUUUUGCCACUGAUGCAGUAAGUUUGGUCAAGCUCUGGACUAGAUCACACCUCUUGGAAGAGAAACAUGUUGCUGUGUUUUCCUGGCCGGCCAAAGACGAGUGAAUCUGAACCGAUCUAAUAAGUGAGCUUCACCGCAUUUGCAUUCUUAUUCUCAGAGCUCACUCACUACAAUCAAUUCCACAUGAAAACAUUGCUGAACUUGAAAUAAGAUAGGGAUAGCUCUCAGUCUCAGAUACUCCGACUUGAUGACGCUGGGUAUGCAAUUGGGCUUGAUUUCUGGAUCUUUUUUUGCAACCGACAGUAAGUGCAUUUUGUUUUAGGCAAAAAAAUCUAACACUUAAAUGCAUUACGUAAAGACUAAAAAGACAAUGUCUCUCUUUGUAUUAUGGAUAUUGGUCUCUCAUCGUAUAAGGAAAUCCGAAAAGAGCCAAGGUU